AUGUAAUACGAUGCUUUAGGCACCUAAUUUUUAGGUUUAAUAGGGAAAUCGGUGAAAAUCCGAUGCAACCCCCGUUACUGUAUACAGGUACAAAACCAAUAUCCACUGGACUUAUUCUGGGAAGGAUGGUAGAGGCUAAACUGUGAGUCAGGAGACCUACCUAAAGUAUUAUGGAACU
rnacentral:ncRNA from 2 species